rnacentral:rRNA from 1 species
AUUGCCUCAGUAGCGGCGAGUGAAGCGGCAAAAGCUCAAAUUUGAAAUCUGGCGUCUUUGGCGUCCGAGUUGUAAUUUGAAGAAGGUAUCUUUGGGCCCGGCUCUUGUCUAUGUUCCUUGGAACAGGACGUCACAGAGGGUGAGAAUCCCGUGCGAUGAGAUGACCCGGGUCUGUGUAAAGUUCCUUCGACGAGUCGAGUUGUUUGGGAAUGCAGCUCUAAGUGGGUGGUAAAUUCCAUCUAAAGCUAAAUAUUGGCGAGAGACCGAUAGCGAACAAGUACAGUGAUGGAAAGAUGAAAAGAACUUUGAAAAGAGAGUGAAAAAGUACGUGAAAUUGUUGAAAGGGAAGGGCUUGAGAUCAGACUUGGUAUUUUGCAUGCUGCUCUCUCGGGGGCGGCCGCUGCGGUUUACCGGGCCAGCAUCGGUUUGGAGCGGCAGGAUAAUGGCGGAGGAAUGUGGCACGGCUUCUGCUGUGUGUUAUAGCCUCUGACGAUACUGCCAGCCUAGACCGAGGACUGCGGUUUUUAACCUAGGAUGUUGGCAUAAUGAUCUUAAGUCGC